rnacentral:rRNA from 1 species
GAAUUCGCCCUUAGAGUUUGAUCUGGCUCAGGACGAACGCUGGCGGCGUGCUUAACACAUGCAAGUCGAGCGGUAAGGCCCUUUGUGGGUACACGAGCGGCGAACGGGUGAGUAACACGUGGGUAACCUGCCCUUAGCUCUGGGAUAAGCCUGGGAAACUGGGUCUAAUACCGGAUAUGACCUCAUGAUGCAUGUUGUGGGGUGGAAAGUUUUGGCGGCUAUGGAUGGGCCCGCGGCCUAUCAGCUUGUUGGUGGGGUGAUGGCCUACCAAGGCGACGACGGGUAGCCGGCCUGAGAGGGCGACCGGCCACACUGGGACUGAGACACGGCCCAGACUCCUACGGGAGGCAGCAGUGGGGAAUAUUGCGCAAUGGGCGAAAGCCUGACGCAGCGACGCCGCGUGAGGGAUGACGGCCUUCGGGUUGUAAACCUCUUUCAGCCCUGACGAAGCGGAAGUGACGGUAGGGGCAGAAGGAGCACCGGCCAACUACGUGCCAGCAGCCGCGGUAAUACGUAGGGUGCAAGCGUUGUCCGGAAUUAUUGGGCGUAAAGAGCUCGUAGGCGGUUUGUCGCGUCGGCUGUGAAAACUCGGGGCUUAACUUCGAGCUUGCAGUCGAUACGGGCAGGCUAGAGUUCGGCAGGGGAGACUGGAAUUCCUGGUGUAGCGGUGAAAUGCGCAGAUAUCAGGAGGAACACCGGUGGCGAAGGCGGGUCUCUGGGCCGAUACUGACGCUGAGGAGCGAAAGCGUGGGGAGCGAACAGGAUUAGAUACCCUGGUAGUCCACGCCGUAAACGUUGGGCGCUAGGUGUGGGAUCCCUUCCACGGGUUCCGUGCCGCAGCUAACGCAUUAAGCGCCCCGCCUGGGGAGUACGGCCGCAAGGCUAAAACUCAAAGGAAUUGACGGAAGGGCGAAUUC